ACGGGUGAGUAAUGUCUGGGAAACUGCCUGAUGGAGGGGGAGUAACUACUGGAAACGGUAGCUAAUACCGCAUAACGUCGCAAGACCAAAGAGGGGGACCUUCGGGCCUCUUGCCAUCAGAUGUGCCCAGAUGGGAUUAGCUAGUAGGUGGGGUAACGGCUCACCUAGGCGACGAUCCCUAGCUGGUCUGAGAGGAUGACCAGCCACACUGGAACUGAGACACGGCCCAGACUCCUACGGGAGGCAGCAUG
rnacentral:rRNA from 1 species